AACGAACGCUGGCGGCAGGCUUAACACAUGCAAGUCGAGCGCCCCGCAAGGGGAGCGGCAGACGGGUGAGUAACGCGUGGGAAUCUACCCAUCUCUACGGAAUAACGCAUGGAAACGUGUGCUAAUACCGUAUACGUCCUUCGGGAGAAAGAUUUAUCGGGGGUGGAUGAGCCCGCGCUGGAUUAGCUAGUUGGUGGGGUAAAGGCCUACCAAGGCGACGAUGCAUAGCUGGUCUGAGAGGAUGAUCAGCCACACUGGGCCGGAGACACGGCCCAGACUCCUACGGGGGGCAGCAGUGGGGAAUAUUUGACAAUGGGCGCAAGCCUGAUCCAGCCAUGCCGCGUGAGUGAUGAAGGCCCUAGGGUUGUAAAGCUCUUUCACCGGUGAAGAUAAUGACGGUAACCGGAGAAGAAGCCCCGGCUAACUUCGUGCCAGCCGCCGCCGUAACAC
rnacentral:rRNA from 1 species